GGGGACGCACUGGUUUCGACGGGGAUGUGGAAACCAAAGUGGCAGGUCGAGGCGCCGCUGGCCUCGUAAAAAGCGGCAACAAUGUAAUUGCAAACAACAAUUACGACUACGCUCUUGCUGCAUAAGUAAUAGCGUACCUG
rnacentral:tmRNA from 1 species